CAGGCCUAACACAUGCAAGUCGAGCGGAAACGGCGGUAUUGAAGCUUCGGUGGAUUUACUGGACGUCGAGCGGCGGGCGGGUGAGUAACGGCUGGGAACCUGCCCUGACGAGGGGGAUAACCGUUGGAAACAACGGCUAAUACCGCAUAAUGUCUUGAUUCGUUAGAGUCAGGACCAAAGGUGGCCUCUACAUGUAAGCUAUCGCGUUGGGAUGGGCCCAGUUAGGAUUAGCUAGUUGGUAAGGUAAUGGCUUACCAAGGCAACGAUCCUUAGCUGGUUUGAGAGGAUGAUCAGCCACACUGGGACUGAGACACGGCCCAGACUCCUACGGGAGGCAGCAGUGGGGAAUAUUGCACAAUGGGGGAGACCCUGAUGCAGCCAUGCCGCGUGUGUGAAGAAGGCCUUCGGGUUGUAAAGCACUUUCAGCAGUGAGGAAGGUCGUGUACUUAAUACGUGCACGGCUUGACGUUAGCUGCAGAAGAAGCACCGGCUAACUCCGUGCCAGCAGCCGCGGUAAUACGGAGGGUGCGAGCGUUAAUCGGAAUUACUGGGCGUAAAGCGCAUGCAGGCGGUUUGUUAAGUCAGACGUGAAAGCCCGGGGCUCAACCUCGGAACCGCAUUUGAAACUGGCAGGCUAGAGUCUUGUAGA
rnacentral:rRNA from 1 species